rnacentral:rRNA from 1 species
UUUAAUUCGAAGCAACGCGAAGAACCUUCCAGGUCUUGACAUCCUUUGAAGCUUCUAGAGAUAGAAGUGUUCUCUUCGGAGACAAAGUGACAGGUGGUGCAUGGUCGUCGUCAGCUCGUGUCGUGAGAAGUUGGGUUAAGUCCCGCAACGAGCGCAACCCUUAUUGUUAGUUGCCAGCAUUCAGUUGGGCACUCUAGCGAGACUGCCGGUGACAAACCGGAGGAAGGCGGGGACGACGUCAGAUCAUCAUGCCCCUUAUGACCUGGGCUACACACGUGCUACAAUGGCGUAUACAACGAGUUGCCAACCCGCGAGGGUGAGCUAAUCUCUUAAAGUACGUCUCAGUUCGGACUGCAGUCUGCAACUCGACUGCACGAAGUCGGAAUCGCUAGUAAUCGCGGAUCAGCACGCCGCGGUGAAUACGUUCCCGGGUCUUGUACACACCGCCCGUCACACCAUGUGUAGUUUGUAAUGCCCAAAGCCGUGAGAGUUUACAUCCAGGGUCCAGGAUUUUUCUUU